rnacentral:rRNA from 1 species
UACAGAGGGUGCGAGCGUUGUCCGGAAUCACUGGGCGUAAAGGGCGCGUAGGCGGCUUUUCAAGCGUGCGGUGAAAGCUCGGGGCUUAACUCCGAGUCUGCCGUGCGAACUGGGAGGCUUGAGUCUGGUAGAGGUCGAUGGAAUUCCGGGUGUAGCGGUGGAAUGCGUAGAGAUCCGGAAGAACACCGGUGGCGAAGGCGGCCUGCUGGGCAGUAGCUGACGCUGAGGCGCGACAGCGUGGGGAGCAAACAGG